UACGUAGGGGCCGAGCGUUGUCCGGAAUCAUUGGGCGUAAAGAGCGUGUAGGCGGCCCGGUAAGUCCGCUGUGAAAGUCGGGGGCUCAACCCUCGAAUGCCGGUGGAUACUGUCGGGCUAGAGUGCGGAAGAGGCGAGUGGAAUUCCUGGUGUAGCGGUGAAAUGCGCAGAUAUCAGGAGGAACACCAAUUGCGAAGGCAGCUCGCUGGGACGUUACUGACGCUGAGACGCGAAAAGCGUGGGGAGCGAACAGG
rnacentral:rRNA from 1 species